UGACAGACUUGGUUCUAAAAUUCACAACCCAAGGUUUUUUGCCUCAUCCAAAAAACACCCUAAAGAAAGAGCGAAAGGGACUGAGAGGGAUUCUGUCCUAUAAUAGAUCCUCUUGGCACUGUUCCACUAGUGCAAAGGGGGGUUAUAAACAGUCCCCACGGGGCAGAUGGGAGACUCUCUAUAGUAGAAAACCAAUACAGCCAGCUCCAUUGCCACUUGUUCCAGGCCCCACCUUGGAAUAGAGGCCAUGCUCAUUGCAUGGCUAGAGCAUGCUGUACUUUUAUGGUCCUCAACUGGUUCAACUGUACGCAGGACACUAUUACUGUCAACAUAAACAGCCUUAGAGCUCCUCUGUUUCACACUCCCAAAGCAAGAAGAGGGUGAAAGAAGGAAGGGAGAGAAAGCCAGCAAAUAGGGUUAUGGUCCACCUGAAGAUCAAGCCCAUUAAGUGCAAUUCAUUGUUCUGAGAACUAGCAACAAGCAGAAUUGGAACGUGUUUAUGCAUUAUACAGAAUAACUGUACUAACUGCCUAAAACUGACAGUUGUGAAACACUGCAAACAGGCAAUAGAACGCAUACCAAGAAAAUUUGAUAUCUGGCAUCAUGGAAGCAAAAAAUAAACUUUUGACACAAACUAUAUAAGAGAAUAGAAACUCACAUUUUGCAGUUAAAACCUUGAACUUGGACAAUGGAGAAGCACUAUCUCGUCUAUUACAUCCCAUCCUACCUGGCUGUUGAAAGCUUAGAUCCUUAACUGAAACAAGACUUUAAAUUCUAAAAUCCAGGUCCAUUGUUAACUAGAGGGGCAACAGUAGGUGCAGCAGCAGGAUUAGCAGUUGCAGGAGUCCCAGAGAAAGAAGUACUUCCCGAAUGCCUUUCAGAGGAAAUUAAAGAGUUGAGUCCAGAGCAGCAACAGUUGAACAGAGAAUGGACUGUUGUAUUCAAAAUCACCGCCAGAGAAAUGCAUUCUUCUUAAAUUCCAUUUUGAACAGUACUACAGAGUUAUAUAAUCUAUAACGUCACCUUGAAAGGAGUAAAGAAAGGACCUCUUUCUUCACAAAUCUCCCAAGAUCUAUUUCUAAUCCAUAUCAAUAUUGAACAGAACAAAUGUUGUGUCAUCUGAGGGCUUGUUGCUCAAUUCCAGUAAUGAUGUGGCCAGAGAGCUUUCCUUUAAGUGCCUCUUCUACCAGCCAAUGGCACCUGCUGCUGCUGCUGUAGGUAGGCAUACCUCCAUUACAAGCAUUAAUAAUUUCCAAUUCAGUUAACUAAAAAGACACAGGAAAUCUUGAGUAGAGGUCCAAGUACGUCCCUGAAGUGGGAUAGAGGGUAGUUUACAGGUGCUGCCAGGAUGGUUCCAAAGACUUAGAGCAGCAAAGGUAGCCAAAAGCUAUUCUUUCUUCCCCUUUCCCUAGCUGAGAACAGCAGAGCCUCAGGUUGAGGACAUAAUGGAAAAGAGUGAAAGUGAACAAUGGAAGGGAGAAUGGGGAUAAGGGAGAAGAGGUUAAGUAAAGGCAGAAUUAAAACAGCAAGAGGGAGUGAUGGAAUCACUAAUUGGCAGUAUUAUGGGCAGGCAGCAACUAGGGAGGAGCAGAUGACAUCUUAAGGGCAUGAAGAGUUAGCAGGACUCUACAUUCUUCUGCUGAUGAUGACUUUAAGGUAUUUAGCAGGGCUGGCCCAGAACAUUUUGGCACCUUAGAUGGGGAGCUCAAAUGAUGCCCCACAUCCCCCUUGCACUCCAGCUCUUGCCACAACAACAAGGAGGAGGAGAAUACCGUCUCUACCGUCUCUGUGCAUCUAGAGCAGAGAGAAUACAUAUGCACCAGCAGCAGACACAGUUUUCUAUGCUCUGGCUAUGUCUACACUUGCAGCUUCUUGUGUGAGAAAUAAGCAAAUGAGGCUGCAUGGAAUAUUCCUGAGCCUUAUUUGCAUACCUAA